GAUUACAUGACAAAAUUUUUAACCCAGGGCUGAGUUCAACCCCGGGGUUGAACUCAGCCCUGGGUUGAAAAUUUUGUCAUGUAAU